GAAAAUGUGGCCGAGUGGUUAGGGCUAUUGACUUAAAAUGUAUAUCCUGUGUGAGGGCGUAGUUUCAAAUCCUACAGUCUUCA
rnacentral:tRNA from 1 species